UUGUUAGACUGUCUAUUAAAUCAUUCGAGUAAUUUUCCUACUGGAGCCACAGUAUAAGGGGGUUCCAUUCUGGAGAGCACAUUGCUUUUUGUCAGAUUUGCUUUUUUGCUUUAACUUAGUAAGGUUGGAAUGGAGUCGACUGUGGGUGAGAACCCACAGCAAUCCUUAAAGUUGGAAGUAAAAUCUAUGGCGGAUUUAAUAUCAGGAUUAAACAGUGCUUGUACAACUAAAUGCCUUCCGCGCCGGUACCACCUGGAUUCCCUUACGGCCAGCGAGUCGGCUUGCUUAGAUCAGUGCGCUAUGAAGUACAUUGGCGUAUGCAAACUGGUUAGAGUUGUGAUGGCUGAACAAAAUCAACAAGUUGCAUAGCUUUCAAUAAAAAAUAAUUGUACUUCGA